GGGGAUAUGGCUCAGCUGGUAGAGCGACGCGUUCGCAACGCGUAGGUCAGGGGUUCGAGUCCCCUUAUCUCCACCA
rnacentral:tRNA from 1 species